UUUCUCCGACACGUGAUGCCGGCUUCUUGCUGGAAGUUGAUGAAGCAGCUAAACAUCGGCCCUGAGAGAAAGCUUCGCAUGGCGCACAGGGUGCUACGAGGGUUCGUUGUGGAGAUGAUGAAGAGGAGGAAGAUCAACACAUGUCAUGUUGGUAACGACGAGGAACAAGAUGGUGUGGAUUUUGUGUCUUCGUUCCUCCAUGACCCUGAGUAUGCUGAUGAUGACUUGUUCCAUGCUAUGAUGAUUGGUUACAUGGUCGCUGCAAGGGAUACAGUUGGAACUACCCUUACAUGGUUCUUCUACAACCUCGCCCAGAACCCUAAGAUCGUGCCAAUCAUCCGCGAUGAACUCUCACCCAUUGCAUCAAACAAAGUAGCGUCUAGGGUAGGUGCCAUGGUGAUCUUUGAACCGGACGAGACCAAAUCUCUAGUGUAUCUGAGAGCCGACUUGUACGAGACACUCAGGUUGUACCCACCGGCGCCAAUCGAGCGCAAGACGGUGUCCGGCGAUGAUAUCAUGCCAAGUGGCCACCAGGUGCAAGCCGGCGACACCAUCUUUAUUUCUCUCCACUCCAUGGGUAGAAUGGAGGGCUUGUGGGGUAAAGACUGCCUCGACUAUAACCCAGAUAGGUGGCUCUCGGAUGAUGGCAACAACCUGAAGUAUGUACCAUCUCACAAGUUUUUAGCCUUUAACUCAGGCCCGAGAAUGUGCCUCGGAAAGGACAUCGCUAUUAUGCAGAUGAAGACUGUCCUCGCCACAAUGGUGUGGAACUUUGAUGUGCAAGCAGUGGAAGGGCAGAGCAUUCAACCCAAGCCGUCUUGUAUACUGGAGAUGAAGAAUGGGUUCAUGGUUAAACUGAAGAAGCGAGAAAUGUAA
rnacentral:rRNA from 1 species